GGAGAGGAGAGGAGAGGAGAGGAGAGGAGAGGAGAGGAGAGGGAGAUCUGGAGCUAGGUCACAUCUGGACAGGGCACAAGUCAGAGGUGGAGCCAGAACAAAUAAUGAAACUAAAGAAUGAAAGAGAAAUGGGCGGACAGCUCAUGAACGGAGGAGCAAUAGACCGUUCAGUGGGAACAGGGAAUGCAUGUGAAGGAAAGACGAAGAUGAUUUCUCUGUGCGUGGCCCGAAGGACAGUGAUUUAAAAAAAGCUCAGAGUGAAAGGAAAGGAAGGGAAGGGGGAAAAGGGAAUAAGUAAGAAGACAAAAUAAUCACUAAGUGCACAAGGACUGAUCUAAAUGCUCAGAAAAUCGCCAGGCUGCUAGGCGGAGCUGGAAGGAGCGCCGCAGCCAUACCCCAGAGAGGACCAUCAGGAAGACAGCGGCAGGCAAUUUAAGUAGCUAGCUACUGGGGUAAAAUGAGAGAGAAAAAAAAAAAAAAUAGAAGCUAGAAAAGGUGAGAAGCAGGAGAGGGAAAGCCCAGAGGAGACACUGGCCCAGAAACCUUUUUAACUUUCUGUUAAGAAUCUUCAAGGCCCCAAACUAGGCCAAGAUUCUGACUGACAUUUCUGAGCUCACCAGCUGCUGUUUCCUUGGGAGAAUUCUGACAGCAAGGCACAGGAACGCGAGCCAACGCGGCCGGCUCUGGAAAAUAAAUAAAUAAAUAAGUAGCUCCCGCGUCCUCCCGCACCACCUCGGAGGGGGCCCGGAGCCCGCCCUGCCCUGCCGGGGUGGAAGAAAGGAAGCCCCCAGAGGAGGAGGGACCCUCCUGCACGACUUUCCCCAGAGCUCCUGAGCUGGAGUCCAUCUGGCAGAACUCCACUUGGCUGAUUAAAAACGGUUCUGAGUCUCCUGAUGAGUAGUUUCCACAACUUCAGAGAUUAAAUGAAAGUUACUUGCUACAAAAGAAGAAAAACGUGCAAAGGACGGGCUGGAGUUGAAAGUGAAAAUUCUGGCCUCAAGAGCAGUCAGAAUUGUUUCUAGGACGUUCCCAUACCCCUGACAGCGUCCACUGUGCCGACCAGGGUCUCAAUGCACCUUUCCUUUUGUGCUGUUAAGCCUUGCAACAAGCAGGCAAGGUAGGUACGCUCUCCUGCUGCACACAGGUAGAAACUGAGGUUUAAAAACGUUAUGUAACUUCCUAAAAGCAAAAGAGCCAGGAAAGCAAAUCCGUGGGAUUUGAACUCAAUGUAAAUGUGACUCCACACAACACACUUUCCACUUGAUUAUAUUGCCCUUCAUCAGGAAGAGAAAAUAAAAGGACAGGCAAUGCCUAGCCCCGAGGGGGGAGGACAGUUUUCUAGCAUCACUCAAACUACCCUUUCUGCCUACCUCUUCCCCAAGCUGCUCCUACACAUGUGAAGACAGGCAGGCCACCUUUAAGGGGAGUGUCUCCUCAAUCAGCUUUCUCACGCUGCGCUAGAAACAGGGAGGAACCAGAGGAUACUCCCGCCAGCCCUGAGGUUCUCGAAUGUUAGCUGCAUCAGAAUCACCGGAAGGGAAGAUGACAACACACAUCUCUGGGCCUCGCCCCAGACGUUUGGGGCUGGCAAAUGUCACCUUCCUUUUGCAAGGUCAACCUACAAGUUCUUACACACUGAAAUCCAAGCCUCUCCUUUAAAAUCUGCAAGAAUCAAGGACUUCCCCACCUCCCUGGAGAAACUAUGUAGUCAAUUCUACCCAUUUGUCAAACCAAACAACCUCAAUGUCUAUGGCUGGGAGAAUAAAUCAAUAAAUUGUAAUAUAUUCACAUAGUAGAAAACCAUAAAAUAAUGAAAAUUAAUAAACUACAGCUAUCACAUCAAUAUGGAUGAAUCUUAUAAAUAUCAUUUUAAAUGAAAAUAUCAAGUCACAGAAGAAUACCUAUGAUAUGAUGCCAUUGUAUAUUAAAAUACACAAAUAUAUUGUUUAGGAAUAUAUGCACAAAUGAUAAAAACUAUAGAGGAAAAUAUUUACAUUAUAAGAAAAAAAGAAAUUUGGUGUUAUUGUUGCCUCCCGGGGGGAAACAAACAUAAAGAGAUAAAUUGGGGAAAGUAUUCAGGAAGUCUCAACACUACAGAACAGUAAAAAAAAAAAAGUUCUUUUCUUAAGGAAGAUGGUUGUUCAUGAGUAUUGGUUUUAUCACCAUAUGCCAUUACUUACAUAUGUAUUACAUAUAUUCUUUUAUAAAUAUACUUGAAUUAAAAAUAAAUUCUUAAAAAUUAAAAUGUAAGAUAAUCAAAGAACAUACACCAAAAUUUCACAUUUAUUCUGCAAGAUGGGAAGAGGGAGAAUUAUGGGAUACUGUCACUUUCCAUAUUAUAUAAUUCUAUGUCAUUUUUGCUCUUCGUGAUGUUUCUUUUUGAAAAAAAGAAUAAAGAUUACAGAAACAAUACAUUGAAGUCAUGCAAUGCAAAAUACAAAUAAUGCAUGAUUUUCACAAGCCAUCCCGAGCAAGGCAAGCUCCCGGGGUUUGGCACACGCUAACGCUGGUUCUCUCUGUGUUAUAGGCUCCAACACGCGACGCUCGGGACCUGCCAAGGUAUCCGCACACCAGAGGCUGCGGUCGCCUUUGAAAGGAGAUGCCCCCUGCUCUGGCUGGUCAAACGGAACCAAGUCCGUCUUCCUGAGAGGUUUGGUCCCCUUCAACCAGCUACAGCAGGGCUGGCAAUGCUCAGUCCUCGGAGAGCAGAAGAGAUUCGCCCGUGGCUGAAAUUUACCUACUAAAACUUUCCUGGAGGAAACAAUUCUGGUGUUUUUUUUCCAUCAUACUCUCAGGCUCCUAAGAAAGAAGAAAAGAGGAGUCCCGGGUUCAAAAGUGAGCGAGAUUUUCAUGCUCAACACACAGAGCCCAGUGCCUUUGCACCCACAGCUAGCGGUACCCACACACUCUUGACACACAGAGUCAGGGAAGAUUUUGAGGGUGGAGUUUGUGCCGGCCCUAAGGCAGCCAGGGGAAGAGUAUGGGACUUAGAAAACAGGAUUUCCACUGGCCAGGGACUAACAAUCUAAGUUAAAAAAUUGGAUAUGUGAAUAUGGAAACGAUUCGAUGCAAUUGCAAGUCAGA